GGGAUUAAUAUACGAGAAUCGAGUUUACGAACAUAGAAAAAAAAAAAAAAAACCAAAGAUAUGGAACUGACAAAACGGGACGUCAUUUAAUCUCUCUUCUUGAGCUAUCCGUUCUGAAAUCGAUAACAACUAACAAAACCCUCCCCCAGAGAAUCAGAAUCAGAAUCAGUGGGGAAGAAGAAUCCGGUGGAGCAAUCGGAAUAGUAGUAGUAGAAGAUGUCGACGGUGUAUGUUCUAGAACCACCGACCAAGGGGAAGGUGGUCGUGAACACCACGCGCGGCCCUUUGGACAUUGAACUCUGGCCGAAAGAGGCUCCUAAAGCGGUGAGGAACUUCGUGCAACUCUGCCUCGAAGGCUAUUACAACAACACCAUCUUCCACCGCAUCAUCAAAGACUUCCUCAUCCAAGGUGGCGACCCCACCGCCUCCGGCACCGGAGGUGAAAGCAUUUAUGGCGGCGUUUUCGCUGAUGAGUUUCAUUCGCGUUUGAAAUUCAAGCACAGAGGAUUAGUUGCAAUGGCCAAUACUGGAUCUCCGAAUUCCAAUGGAAGCCAGUUUUUCGUUACUCUUGAUCGCUGUGACUGGCUCGAUCGCAAGCACACGAUUUUUGGAAAGGUGACGGGAGAUACAAUGUAUAACCUUUUGAGGUUGGGUGAAGUCGAAACUGAUAAGAAUGACCGGCCUUUGGAUCCGGCUCCGAAGAUAUUAUCAGUUGAGGUGUUAUGGAAUCCAUUUGAAGAUAUUAUUCCGAGAACACUUCAGAAAACUCAGAUUGAAGCUAAACCUGAUACGGAGAGUAAAGAGUCGAAGAAGAAAGGUGUAAAAAAAUUGAACUUGCUUUCGUUUGGGGAGGAAGCUGAAGAGGAGGAAAAGGAAUUGGCAUCAGUGAAGCAAAAAAUUAAGAGCAGUCACGAUGUCUUGAAUGAUCCUCGUCUUCUAAAGGAAGAAACACUUGAUAAUGAAGUGAGUUCAUCUGAUGGUAAAUCAACAAGAGAUUUACAGCUAUCUGUAAGGGAUGCACUUAACUCAAAGAAAGAAGAGCCUCAAAAAGAUUCAGAAGCUGGUGACAUGGCUCAUCUUGAUUCCAGUGAUGAUGGUGAUGAAGCAGAUUUUGAUGCAAGAAUGCGCAGGCAAAUACUCAAAAAGCGGAAGGAAUUGGGUGAUCACCCUCCCAAACCGAAGUUGCGAACUGGAAGGUCUAGUCCAGAGAACCAGGAUGCAUCAGCGACUAGGUCUAAUGCUGUAAGUGAUGAGGAUCAACCAAAGGUGGAGAAAUUGUCCUUGAAGAAAAAGGGAGUAGGAUCUGAAGCAAGAGCUGAACGAAUGGCUAAUGCUGAUGCAGAUUUGCAGCUACUGAAUGAAGCUGAGAGAGGAAGACAAUUGCAGAAGCAGAAGAAACGCAGACUUCAAGGGCGUGAAAAUGAUGUUCUGGCCAAACUUGAAAAAUUUAAGAAUUCUUUAUCAGCGAAGGCCACAUCCACAGCUGGUGAAUCUGAAAAUGUUAAUAAUGAGGAAUUGUCUGACUGGAGAGAUGUUACGUUAAAAUUUGCCCCCGAGUCUGGCAAGGAUCGCAUGUCUCGCACUGAGGACCCAAAUGACUAUGUUGUGCAUGAUCCUCUUUUGGAGAAGGGGAAAGAGAAGUUUAAUAGGAUGCUAGCCAAACAAAAGAGACGAGAACGAGAGUGGGCUGGAAGAUCCCUUACUUGAGCUUGCAUGUGGCAGCAUGGUUAUGUAAAUACACAAAGCUAAUUGGUUUUGGGCUGACCGGCACCACUGGGAAAGGAAACUUAAUCCAAGAGAAACAGAGGAAGUUAUUGCAUGGAGGAGUUUAGCAGACUUGGCUGGCAAGGACACUCUGAUAUUGUUGAGUAAGAUGUGGGGUUACUGUGCCAAGUGUUAAUCUAUGCUGCAUUUUGCAAAUUCUCUACCUCGAGUUAAAGCAAAGUGAUGAGGAUCUCAUGGAAGGACCACACUCGAUGUGCCCUCGCGAAAGGACAUUCUUUGACUUGAGAUGUCACCUUUGGGUUUCGGACUUUGGGUUUUACAGUUACUGGGACUAUCAGAUGGAGACCGGUGAUAGUGUUCGGAGGUGAAAUUGGAAUCUUGCUAUGGUGUUGUCGGCAGUCAGUGCAUUGGCAGCAUGAAGGUCCUACGGUGCUCCAACAGUAAGGUAAUGGUUUAACGGAUUGAUUUAAAUAGAAAAUUUUCAAACUCUAAAGACCAAGUUACAAACUAAUAUAAUGGGAGAAUAAAUUUUAAAAAAUAUAUCAAAUAAUAUAUGAAGUCCAAAUUAAUUGAAGCUUUUAAAAAUCUGAGCUAAUAUUUUAUGGGAUCUUUAUGGCUUUUGCGUGUUGAAAAAGACUCGGGUAAUUUGCCAUUUAUCCUCAUAACUUUUUGGACCUAAUUUUAAAAUUUCAAUUCCAUGGAUAUGGUGCUAAUUGAUCAAAUUAGGGUUAAUUUGGAAAGUAUUUCUUUUGGUUGGGGUUUUUUCGCCUUGCUUAUACUAAAUCUUUCUUUUGAUCACAUAGCCUAAGGCCAUAAUCUACAUGGCACCAAACGUGGAGUGAAUUUAUGUUAAAUAGCAUUUUACAUGGGUUGCUGCAAAUAAUGAAUGAUUACCUAAUGAAUAUGUUCCAUAAUCCCCGUUCAUGGUUGCGUGUGAGCGUGAGAAUGGUAGGGUGUGAGAAUGACAGAGAAAAGGAAAAGCAAUAAUGAGAAGGUGAGAUGGGUUGCAAUGGUGAGAAAGAGAAUGAGAUUGGAUAGGGGGGUGAAGAGGAGGGGGAGGCAUUAGGGUUUGGAACGUCUACCACAUGAUAUUAUCCUAUGAAAUGUCCCUAGUCCAUAUGGUGCCCCACGGGAUAUUGUCCUGUAAAGACCUCACAUUUUGAUUUGAGAGGCAUUACUCCAAAUAUACGUUCAAUAAAUCUAUAUCAUGAUUAAAGAAAUAAAUGUGAAAACCAUCCUUAAAAUUU